UACGAGGGGUGCAAGCGUUGCUCGGAAUUAUUGGGCGUAAAGGGUAGGUAGGUGGUCUUAUUUGUCUUGUGUGAAAGCCUUGGGCUUAACCCAAGAAGUGCGCAAGAAACGGUAAGACUAGAGUCCCAGAGAGGCUUGUGGAAUUCCCGGUGUAGCGGUGAAAUGCGCAGAUAUCAGGAGGAACACCUAUUGCGAAGGCAGCUCGCUGGGACGUGACUGACGCUGAGACGCGAAAGCGUGGGGAGCGAACAGG
rnacentral:rRNA from 1 species